rnacentral:rRNA from 1 species
AUUGAACGCUGGCGGCAUGCCUUACACAUGCAAGUCGAACGGUAACAGGUCUUCGGAUGCUGACGAGUGGCGCACGGGUGAGUAAUACAUCGGAACGUGCCCGAUCGUGGGGGAUAACGAAGCGAAAGCUUUGCUAAUACCGCAUAAGAUCUACGGAUGAAAGCAGGGGACCGCAAGGCCUUGCGCGAACGGAGCGGCCGAUGGCAGAUUAGGUAGUUGGUGGGAUAAAAGCUUACCGAGCCGACGAUCUGUAGCUGGUCUGAGAGGACGACCAGCCACACUGGGACUGAGACACGGCCCAGACUCCUACGGGAGGCAGCAGUGGGGAAUUUUGGACAAAGGGCGAAAGCCUGAUCCAGCCAUGCCGCGUGCAGGAUGAAGGCCUUCGGGUUGUAAACUGCUUUUGUACGGAACGAAAAGACUCUGGUUAAUACCUGGGGUCCAUGACGGUACCGUAAGAAUAAGCACCGGCUAACUACGUG